CUGGGAUUGAAGAUGAGUUCAAUGUUGAUUAUUUAAUUGGGCAGUAUAAGUAAAUUCAUUGGCUCUCCUUCCAGUUUAGUGAAUACUAAAUAUCAUCCAUGAUAUUUUAUACUUCUUACACUUCUGGAAUCUAACCUGAAAAUAGAAGUUGUAAGUCAGGGACGGUGGUAUGUGCCUCUAGUCUCAGCUAGUUGGGAGGCUGAGGCUUGAGCCCAGGCCUUCAAGGCUGUAGUGCACAAUGACUGUACUUGUGAAUAGCCACUGCACUCCAGCCUGGGCAACAUAGCAAGACUCCCACCCCUUAAGAAAAAAGAAGAGAGAAAAAAAUAGAAGUUGUGGAGAGGGAGGAGGAUGCUUGAAUACUUUGACCGUACUUGGCAUAAUAGACAUUUUGAGGGUUUUUUUGUUUUCUUAAAAUUCCUCUGGAUCAGUUUUCAUUGUUUCUAGUAAUUAUAUUUAUCGUUAAUGAAUUCAUAUUCUGCUCUAGCCCCUAAAGAUAGUUUGAUAUGCUAACUUUUGUUUUGCCUUUCUAGCUGCUAAGAUAGAUAAUGGUUAUUGCAAAAUGCACGUUUUUAAAUGGUCUCCAGUGUGGAUUGCUUCUGAGCUGCUGAUGGAUUGAAUACAUUGAGAAGGAAUGUGUCAUUUGGAAUCCAGGACCAGUCAGCAAGGAUAACUGCCUGAUUUUAUGAUUUCGUGACUGAUGCUGAAAUGGAAGCCAACCACUGCAGAAAUUUGGGGGAAAAUGAGAUCUGAAGAAUACAAGGGGAAGUAGGAAUUCAUUUCUAGCAUUUCCAAACCUGCUUAAUCGUGUCUGCUCCACCACAGUCAGAGGAAAAGACUGAGUUCAUGGAAAUUACCAGCUAAGCCUUACAUCUGUCUUUAAUGUUUUUAGGAAGUAUACUGAAAAGGUAAGUGAGAUGUCUGUUUUGAAGAAAGACUCUUACUGGGUACCUUAAAACCCGUUGUUUCCUAUUAGUAAAGAUGGGCAGCUUCUUUAUUCCUAGCUUCAAAAAGCCUUGCCCCUGUUUGGUGUGUUUCUCAGUAUUGUGGAGAAGGUAGUUUCUGAGCAAGGUGGUGCUUUUCCUCUGCUUCUCAGCAGCUAAGACAGAAAUUGCACCGAAGUG
rnacentral:lncRNA from 1 species